UGCCCAGAAACUCCUAUCCCUACCUCCUCGUGGUACCGGCCGCAAACUAUGAGCAACCUUAGAGAAGAUUGGGUAACCAGCUCAACUGUGCACUAUGGUCUUCCGGAAAGUAUGGG
rnacentral:ribozyme from 1 species